rnacentral:lncRNA from 1 species
ACGACGUCCGUUACGGGAGCACGUGCGCCUUUCUGGCUCUUCCUUUCCCUCCACCAUUCGUUUCUCUGUUUUUAAGGCUUUUGCUCUUUCGUUCUUCACGGGAGCACAUGGGUCCCACUGAGAAAGAAACUAUUCUGUCUCCUGGUCACCGCUCCCAUAAAUAAAGUAAACACUCAUCCCACAAAGCUCCCAGAGAUGGGUCCCGAAGAGAUCGGCACAACUGAAGCACAGAAAGAGGCUUCCACCGAUGGAGUAAAAGCCCACAAUUAAACAAGUGCAGGUGUAAUUAUUCGUGAAUGCAAUUUUUUCCGGCAACAAAUACUUGUGGCUAAAGAACUGCCUGCAUUGUGAAAGGGAGGUAGGUGUAAUUGGACCCCCUUUAAUAAGUCGGUGCUUAAGAUAGAAGUCGGCGUAUAAUUUGAUUAGUGGAAAAACACCCAUGACUUCUUUAUUGCAAUUUUAUAUCUUAACAACUGCUUUCCCUAGCCCAUUUGUGGUCCUUACUGAAGCCGCGUCAGCAUAGUUAUUCUCUUAAUUAAGCCCUGAGCAAUGCCAAAUCACAGAGGAGACAGCUAGGAGUCCUGCUCAGGUCUUGUGAGUACCUUACAGACAGCACGGAAGAGUUACAGAUAAAAGGCACAGACUCGGAAGGAUGCAAAUGACUGCGUUCUGCUUGAAAUAUGAAGAGCUAGCCAGACCGGAACGGAGCCCUGCACCUGGCCUCAGAAGACACAGCUGGUCUCUCCUGGUUGAUACUGUUGCAUCGUCCUCUGCCUUCCGUCAUCCUUUAAAUAUGCCCUCACUUUGACCCAGAGUGGCUGUGUCUUUCUGUUUGUAUGUCUGCCUUGUCUGUCUUGUGAGCUGCCAGAGGAAAACACUUAAGACUUUUUGGAUCAUUUCUUUUCCUUGGCGAAUUCGCAUCUCUGCUGAUAAAAAAGAAAAAGAAGAAGAUGAAGAAAAAAAAAGCACUAAAAUUAGUUUCAGUCAAGCAAAACAAAGUAACCAGCCAACAGAAGGACCCCUG